rnacentral:snRNA from 1 species
AUACUUACCUGGCAGGGGAGAUACCAUGAUCACGAAGGUGGUUUUCCCAGGGCGAGGCUUGUCCAUUGCACUCCGGAUGUGCUGACCCCUGCGAUUUCCCCAAAUGUGGGAAACUCGACUGCAUAAUUUGUGGUAGUGGGGGACUGCGUUCGCGCUCUCCCCUG